CCCUAUGGGGUGCAGCAGGCGCGAAAACUUUACCAUGCGGGCAACCGUGAUAAGGAAACCCCGAGUGCCAGCACAGGCUGGCUGUCCGCCAGUUUAAAUAACUGGUGAAGAAAGGGCCGGGCAAGACCGGUGCCAGCCGCCGCGGUAAUACCGGCGGCUCGAGUGGUGGCCGCUUUUACUGGGCUUAAAGGGUCCGUAGCUUGAUUCACAAGUCCCUUGAGAAAUCCAUCGGCUUAACUGAUGGGCGUUCAGGGGAUACUGUGGUUCUAGGGACCGGGAGAGGUGAGAGGUACUGCCGGGGUAGGAGUGAAAUCCUGUAAUCCCGGUGGGACGACCUAUGGCGAAGGCAUCUCACCAGAACGGCUCCGACAGUGAGGGACGAAAGCUGGGGGAGCAAACCGG
rnacentral:rRNA from 1 species